rnacentral:rRNA from 1 species
UUCCUACGGGACGCAGCAGUGGGGAAUAUUGGUCAAUGGGAGAGAUCCUGAACCAGCCAAGCCGCGUGAGGGAAGACGGCCCUAUGGGUUGUAAACCUCUUUUGUCGGAGAACAAAACCCGGGACGUGUCCCGGACUGCGUGUAUCCGAAGAAAAAGCAUCGGCUAACUCCGUGCCAGCAGCCGCGGUAAUACGGAGGAUGCGAGCGUUAUCCGGAUUUAUUGGGUUUAAAGGGUGCGUAGGCGGUCCGUUAAGUCAGCGGUAAAAUUGCGGGGCUCAACCCCGACGAGCCGUUGAAACUGGCAG